rnacentral:rRNA from 1 species
GGGGAAUAUUGGACAAUGGGCGAAAGCCUGAUCCAGCAAUGCCGCGUGAGUGAUGAAGGCCUUAGGGUUGUAAAGCUCUUUUACCCGGGAUGAUAAUGACAGUACCGGGAGAAUAAGCCCCGGCUAACUCCGUGCCAGCAGCCGCGGUAAUACGGAGGGGGCUAGCGUUGUUCGGAAUUACUGGGCGUAAAGCGCACGUAGGCGGCUUUGUAAGUUAGAGGUGAAAGCCCAGAGCUCAACUCUGGAAUUGCCUUUUAGACUGCAUCGCUUGAAUCAUGGAGAGGUCAGUGGAAUUCCGAGUGCAGAGGUGAAAUUCGUAGAUAUUCGGAGGAACACCAGUGGCGAAGGCGGCUCACUGGCUCGAUACUGACGCUGAGGUGCGAAAGCGUGGGGAGCAAA